rnacentral:rRNA from 1 species
UGUGCCAGAUGGGAUUAGCUAGUAGGUGGGGUAACGGCUCACCUAGGCGACGAUCCCUAGCUGGUCUGAGAGGAUGACCAGCCACACUGGAACUGAGACACGGUCCAGACUCCUACGGGAGGCAGCAGUGGGGAAUAUUGCACAAUGGGCGCAAGCCUGAUGCAGCCAUGCCGCGUGUGUGAAGAAGGCCNUCGGGUUGUAAAGCACUUUCAGCGGGGAGGAAGGCGGUGAGGUUAAUAACCUCAUCGAUUGACGUUACCCGCAGAAGAAGCACCGGCUAACUCCGUGCCA